UACAGAGGAUGCAAGCGUUAUCCGGAAUGAUUGGGCGUAAAGCGUCUGUAGGUGGCUUUUUAAGUCCGCCGUCAAAUCCCAGGGCUCAACUCUGGACAGGCGGUGGAAACUACCAAGCUGGAGUACGGUAGGGGCAGAGGGAAUUUCCGGUGGAGCGGUGAAAUGCGUAGAGAUCGGAAAGAACACCAAUUGCGAAGGCAGCUCGCUGGGACGUUACUGACGCUGAGACGCGAAAGCGUGGGGAGCAAACAGG
rnacentral:rRNA from 1 species